rnacentral:lncRNA from 1 species
GUUUCAUAGCAGGUAAGCAGAUUUGCUGUACUUUGGUCACUCAGAACCCACGUUCCUUAUCAGUCUGCCAUUCCCUAGCUGUUUUUGUUCAUGUGGUCAAAGUCAUCACUGCAUCCACAGUCUAGCUUUCUGGAAAGGGGGAAGAAUGUAUGGAGGCAGCACAGCUUCCUUUUUUAAAGGACACGCCCUGGAAAUAGGAACAUACUUAUGGGCUAUAAGUUAGUCAUUGGGCCACAUUUAGCUCCUAGGAAGGCUAGGAAAUAUACUGUCUGGCUAAGGAGUUAAUGUAACUUGCUAAAGCUCGAAAGUCUGGGGCAUGAUUUCAUGUUUGAUUGCCUCAAAGCAACUCUCCCAGACAGAAUUGCUUUUCCAGCUCAUUUGCUAAAAUUCUAAGUAAGAUGGUAUUUUUUGAAAAGUCGUUAUUUAGGUUUUCAUCCUCAUUUUAAGGACUCCUGUAAACGUUAACGUUUAAGUCGGAAAUUGUAGUCUGCAAUUCACUUUCUGUUAUAGUUCAUUUUGAUUAUAUAAAUCCUUUUCUGAAGGAAUUUUUGCCAGUCUGUUUGGACCUACCAAAUGGAGACCUGUAUAUUUUUUACAUUAAAUAUCAGUGAUUUCCAUUUCCAGUCAGUGAAAAUCAAGAGCUACAAAUAUAUGAAAGGCAUGCCACUGUCUCACAUUUGCAAAGGCAAUUGAAUUCUGUUUUGGCUUUCAUCAUUGAUAGCUAGAAUUCAGAUUUCUAGUUCAAGUAGAAAUCUUUUUUUCAACAUAGGUGAUUUUACUCAUGGGACGACAGUCAUUAAUGUUAAGCUAGAUUAGAGAGGGCUGAUAUCAUGAAGUGGUAAUAAUUAUGAAGUGAUCAAGCUAAGAAGGAAAGUGACCUGUUUUGUACAUGAAGGCAAACCUGUGCUUGCAGGAAGUUUUGCAAACUCUAUGAAAGAAUUAUUAAUAGAAUAUUUAUUACCUUUAGAAAAUGAAAAAUUGUUACAUAUUUGAAGACAAAGCAGUGCUCGCAGGAAGUUAUGCAAACUCUGUGAAAGAAUUAUUAACAGAAUAUUUAUUACCUUCAGAAAAUGAAAAAUUGUUAUAUAUUUUUUUAACUAGCAUGAUAAUUUCUUUCUGUAAUACCUACCAGAAUCUUGAUGUAUAAUAGUACCUAUUAUUUUAGAGGGACAUUUGGCAUGAUGUUUGUUCCAAGAUUUUGUUUCUGCAUUUCUCAUGUACCAAGAAGUCCUGGUUAAAAAUAGUCUUUUUGAGAAUCCUGUGGCCUGUGUCUUAAGGACAGUUGUAUACAGAAAGCUUCUUAGGGAAACAACUUAAAAUCUUGUUGCCAGAAACACAAAUUUAUCUAAUUUUGUUUGUCUUUUCAUCUUAAAUUAGGCCACAGUGUCUUGUUAUGACAGGUGCUCCAAACUCACGUCCAGCUUUACUUCAUCUUGUUCAUGAUUUCACAAAAAAUGUUGGUUUGAUGAUCUGUGGCCAUGUACAUAUGGGUCCUCGAAGACAAGCCAUGAAAGAGAUGUCCAUCGAUCAAGCCAAAUAUCAGCGAUGGCUUAUUAAGAACAAAAUGAAGGCAUUUUAUGCUCCAGUACAUGCAGAUGACUUGAGAGAAGGUGCACAGUAUUUGAUGCAGGUAACUUUGUUAAUGCUUUUCAAAUGCCUACAUUUUAGAUUUGUAUAAGCUUUUUAAAACUUUUUAAUUCUAGAUUUCAUUCUUCAUACUAAUAAAAAUGGCAAAUCUUUUUUUAUGUCUUUAUUAAAGUAAACUACUUUGGCUCACCUGGCUAGUUCAGUCAGUAAAGCAUGAGACACUGAAAGUAAACUACUUGGAUUUGUAUAAUUCAGAAUUAAAGGGACAGUAGAAAUGUUGUGUUGUUCUGUGUUAAUUGUGUAAUUGUGGAGCUACUUUGUUAAAGUAGAGGUGGGAGGCUCAGAGUAUUGUCUUCUGAUCCGUUUCUGUUGUGUGUUUCUUAGAACUUGAUAAGCACAGGGUUAAGAAUAGCCAAGGCAAUCUAGGAAGAAGGGACAAGGUAGGCUUGCUUUAUAGGAAAGAAAGCCCUGUCAAAAAACUGUAGUAAUUAAGACAUUGUGGUGUUGAAUAUAGCGAUAGACAGUUAGACGAAUGGCACAAAACAGAGGAAAUAGAGCUACCCGUAUCAGAAACUUAACAUAUAUGACAAAGGUGCUAUUGAAAGCAUGGGCCAGAAUAAAUCAUUAUUAACAUG